rnacentral:rRNA from 1 species
AACGAACGCUGGCGGCAGGCUUAACACAUGCAAGUCGAGCGCCCCGCCAGGGGAGCGGCAGACGGGUGAGUAACGCGUGGGAAUCUACCCAUCUCUACGGAAUAACGCAUGGAAACGUGUGCUAAUACCGUAUACGUCCUUCGGGCGAAAUAUUUAUCGCAGAUGGAUGGGCCCGCGUUGGAUUAGCUAGUUGGUGGGGUAAAGGCCUACCAGGGCGACGAUCCAUAGCUGGUCUGAGAGGAUGAUCAGCCACACUGGGACUGAGACACGGCCCAGACUCCUACGGGAGGCAGCAGUGGGGAAUAUUGGACAAUGGGCGCAAGCCUGAUCCAGCCAUGCCGCGUGAGUGAUGAAGGCCCUAGGGUUGUAAAGCUCUUUCACCGGUGAAGAUAAUGACGGUAACCGGAGAAGAAGCCCCGGCUAACUUCGUGCCAGCCGCCGCAGUAACAC